UUAGAAUGCUUCUGGUCUUAACUGCAAUUUCUUUUUCCCCUGAUGCUAUUCACCUCACAAUGAAAAAAAUCAAUGGUGUUCAUGAAUCUAAGAGCUGGACUUAGAAAUUAUGUUCUGUGCCUAGUACAGCAGUAAUCAUAUUCCAUUUAUGAUGAUAGACAUCUUUAGAGGUCUGAUUGUUUUGCAUAGAAAAGAAACUUUGCAGUUUCAACUUUGAACCAGGUGAAUAGUUAAAAGUAAUUCCAGUCUCAGUUUCUUAGUACUUUUGCGUUCAAACUAGGUAUCUACAUUUGCUCAAUACAGUGCUGGUGAGAAGUAACUUAUUAACUGUUUUCUGAUUUCUAGAGCUAUUAGGUUGCUACCAUCAUUUUCUUGCACCUGCAUCUUUGAAGUUGCUUGUCAUCUAAUGGGGUAUUCAGGCAUGCCUAGCACACCAUGAAUUAUUUCAAUUGCCCCUUUGUUUCCAUUGUAUCAUAUAGAAUCAGACCUUUUUCCAAUGGGGUUUUGGUUGUUGGCAUUUAGAAUAGUCAUCACACCAUGAAUUAUUUCAAUUACUCCUUUGCUUCCAUUGUAUCAUAUGGAAUCUAACCUGUUUCCAAUGGAGUUUUGGUUGUUGGCAUUUAGAAUAGUCAUCACACCAUGAAUUAUUUCAAUUACUCCUUUGCUUCCAUUGUAUCAUAUGGAAUCUAACCUGUUUCCAAUGGA
rnacentral:misc_RNA from 1 species